GCACUGCUGAGGAGUCCCACAGGAGAACGAAACGGCCGUCUAGUGC
rnacentral:hammerhead_ribozyme from 1 species